rnacentral:misc_RNA from 1 species
AAGUCGUAACAAGGUUUCCGUAGGUGAACCUGCGGAAGGAUCAUUAACGAAAUCGGUCGUCAGACCUUUUCUUUUUUCAACCCGAUGUGUGGAAACGCGCAUCUCGUUUACUUCAGUUUGUAUCUGAUUACGAAUGUCUUUUACUAGGCAUAUGAAAGUUAAAACUAUGAACAACGGAUCUCUAGGCUCUU